GACGAACGCUGGCGGCGUGCUUAACACAUGCAAGUCGAACGGAAAGGCCCUGCUUGCAGGGUACUCGAGUGGCGAACGGGUGAGUAACACGUGGGUGAUCUGCCCUGCACUUCGGGAUAAGCCUGGGAAACUGGGUCUAAUACCGGAUAGGAGCCAUUUUUAGUGUGAUGGUUGGAAAGAUUUUUCGGUGUUGGAUGAGCUCGCGGCCUAUCAGCGUGUUGGUGGGGUAAUGGCUUACCAAGGCGGCGACGGGUAGCCGGCCUGAGAGGGUGGACGGCCACACUGGGACUGAGGGACGGCCCAGACGCCGACGGGAGGCAGCAGGGGGGAAUAUUGCACAAUGGGCGCAAGCCUGAUGCAGCGACGCCGCGUGGGGGAUGACGGUCUUGUGGUUGUAAACACCCUUCGCUAGGGACGAAGCUUUUUGUGACGGUACCUAGAUAAGAAGCACCGGCUAACUACGUG
rnacentral:rRNA from 1 species